rnacentral:lncRNA from 1 species
AUCAGAAGUGUGUUACUACUGCAUCUUGCUAUCCAAUUUGUUCAAGUCUAUGCUAAGAAAAGCUCAGAAUGAUACGAUUCUGACACUAAACAAAAUGCCUGUAGUUCUGCGAGUGAAUGAAUGAAAUUUCCUCAGAGCUAGAAAUUUUACUUUCACCUGGUUCUGCAAGCAACUAAGUAUCCAGUUUCAUCUAAAUCGCUGGAGAUGUUCAUUACUAAAUUCUCAGAACAUUCCACCCACAGUGAGUAACCAAUUCACAUGACUGCUGGAAUAGCAUGAAUAAUACCUAAGAAAUAAAAAUGUACAUGAGGAAAACCAACCAUCCAAAGAGACAGUAAAUGAGAGGUUAAAAAUAAUGUCAGACUGUCAGACUCCCAGCUGAAAGCCUGAAGUUCUUGAAGGCUACAGGAGUAUUUCUUAAAUUCAGUACUUGGCUUUCUUAAAACAAAACAAAACUUUUUUAUAUUGCUUGAGAAGAGAAUCAUGGAGAUAUUUUAGAUGCAAUGAAUCCAACAUUUGCAAUAAAACAGCAUGCCUACACAAGCUCUGUAUGAUAACAUAUUCCUUCAAAAUCUGAAAGCUUCCCCUGAGAAAAGAGGAAGGCACUGUCCCCAUGCCUUCUGAUCACCAAGAGCCCCAGCUGGUGGUAGUUACCUCCCCAGGGAAGGAGGGCAGGCUGGGAUGCUGCUUUUACAUGGUGAAGAAAUGUUAGUUGCUUGCUGCCCAAGGGGUCAAGGAAGUGAGUAUUGUGGUUAACUCAUGGAAGCUCACGGAAUUGCCUCAAAACGUGUCUGGUCUCCUGCUUUGUCUUCCCCCAGCUAUCAAGGUCCAAUGUGGCUGAUUCCAAUGAAACUGUUGGUUGCAGUGCCAGAGCUGCUAUAGUUUCUUCACUGUCUGAAGAAACUGAAUUCUAGAAAAGAACUAAAAUGAUCUGACCCAUGCUGUGCUGUUCUGUAUUUGACAGUGGAAUCCGAUUAGGACUGAAUUCAGCUGUGGUUAUCAUCUAUCUAGCAAACUGUUUGUGUGUUUUGGGAAGACUUGUGCAAAGACUGCACCAAAAAUAAUCUAGGGAGUCCAGCCACAAGGUAAAAUAUGGAAUUCUCACAUAUCAAGCAAUGCCCAGGAGAAAAAGAAAUUUGCCUUAGAAUGACUAUUGGAAUAGCUGAUUUUUAAGACUUGCUGGACUUCUUAGUUCCAAAGAGGAUGUUUUGCCAUCUAAAUGGUGUGCCCUAAUGUAUCAAACCAAACACUAAAUAAAUUAUUAAGCCUGUGUGGGCUGCUUAUUUCC